ACGCUCGACACCUACAGGAGGCAGCAGUGAGGAAUAUUGGUCAAUGGGCGCUAGCCUGAACCAGCCAAGUAGCGUGAAGGAUGAAGGCUCUAUGGGUCGUAAACUUCUUUUAUAUAAGAAUAAAGUGCAGUAUGUAUACUGUUUUGUAUGUAUUAUAUGAAUAAGGAUCGGCUAACUCCGUACCAGCAGCCGCGGUAAUCUGAGCGGGCUGGCAAGGC
rnacentral:rRNA from 1 species